GAGCAAUGAUGAAAAGGUUUUACUCCAGACCUUUAUAACUAUGGAGGUUUCUACACUUGAUCUGAGCUCA
ensembl:snoRNA